rnacentral:rRNA from 1 species
UUGGCGACCGGCGCACGGUGCGUAACGCGUAUGUAACCUACCUAUAACAGGGGCAUAACACUGAGAAAUUGGUACUAAUUCCCCAUAAUAUUCGGAGAGGCAUCUCUCCGGGUUGAAAAACUCCGGUGGUUAUAGAUGGACAUGCGUUGUAUUAGCUAGUUGGUGAGGUAACGGCUCACCAAGGCAACGAUACAUAGGGGACUGAGAGGUUAACCCCCCACACUGGUACUGAGACACGGACCAGACUCCUACGGGAGGCAGCAUG